rnacentral:rRNA from 1 species
UACGUAGGGUGCGAGCGUUGUCCGGAAUUAUUGGGCGUAAAGAGCUCGUAGGCGGUUUGUCGCGUCGGGAGUGAAAACCCAGGGCUUAACCCUGGGCUGGCUUUCGAUACGGGCAGACUAGAGGUAUGCAGGGGAGAACGGAAUUCCUGGUGUAGCGGUGAAAUGCGCAGAUAUCAGGAGGAACACCGGUGGCGAAGGCGGUUCUCUGGGCAUUACCUGACGCUGAGGAGCGAAAGUGAGGGGAGCGAACAGG